UAAGGAAUAUUGGGCAAUGGACGCAAGUCUGACCCAGCCAUGCCGCGUGCAGGAUGACGGCCCUACGGGUUGUAAACUGCUUUUGUACGGGAAAAAACCCUCGCUCGUGAGCGGGGCUGAUGGUACCGUAAGAAUAAGCAUCGGCUAACUCCGUGCCAGCAGCAGCGGUAAUACGGAGGAUGCAAGCGUUAUACGGAUUCAGUGGGUUUAAAGGGUCCGCAGGCGGGAUAAUAAGUCAGAGGUGAAAUCCUACGGCUCAACUGUAGAACUGUCUUUGAUACUGUUAUCCUAUAGUGUAGUUGAUGUGGGCGGAAUAUGUCAUGUAGCGGUGAAAUGCUUAGAUAUGACAUAGAACACCGAUCGCGAAGGCAGCUCACAAAGCUACAACUGACGCUCAGGGACGAAAGCGUGGGGAUCAAACA
rnacentral:rRNA from 1 species